CGGAGGUGAUGUCACUGUGCCAUCCUGACCCUCUGUGGAGGCCAAAGACUGAUUUAAUGAGUCUGAUCC
ensembl:snoRNA